AGUGAACGCUGGCGGUAGGCCUAACACAUGCAAGUCGAACGGCAGCACAGUAAGAGCUUGCUCUUACGGGUGGCGAGUGGCGGACGGGUGAGGAAUACAUCGGAAUCUACUUUUUCGUGGGGGAUAACGUAGGGAAACUUACGCUAAUACCGCAUACGACCUACGGGUGAAAGCAGGGGAUCUUCGGACCUUGCGCGAUUGAAUGAGCCGAUGUCGGAUUAGCUAGUUGGCGGGGUAAAGGCCCACCAAGGCGACGAUCCGUAGCUGGUCUGAGAGGAUGAUCAGCCACCCUGGAACUGAGACACGGCCCCGACUCCUACGGGAGGCAGCAGUGGGGAAUAUUGGACAAUGGGCGCAAGCCUGAUCCAGCCAUACCGCGUGGGUGAAGAAGGCCUUCGGGUUGUAAAGCCCUUUUGUUGGGAAAGAAAAGCAGCAGGUUAAUACCCCGCUGUUCUGACGGUACCCAAAGAAUAAGCACCGGCUAACUUCGUG
rnacentral:rRNA from 1 species